GACCACCAGUGCUGGAGGAGGCAAACUUGCAACAAUGGAAGCCAUGCCUACCUGAAAGAAAACUUAUUGAAUACAGAACAAAGGAACCUCAAAGAUCAAAUUUUGAGAAGUGUUGCGAAACUUUGUUUACAAAAACAAAACUGGGUUCAGUAAAUUUUACGUCUUUGAUUGCAGAGAGAGCGAGAGAGUGCAAGCGAGAGACACUGAACACCACAGAACAUGUACGAG
rnacentral:misc_RNA from 1 species